CGUUCGUAAGGGAGAGAAAUAAGCCUGUCUGGUUCCGUGGUAUGUUGGUACUCCCCUGUCAUGCUAGUUGGUCGUAACGAGGGCCGCUCCUGGUUAGCCAGGAACGUCUUUAAGCGCCGUGGACAGCUGAUGUGGAUGCGAAAGGAGGCCUCCGCGUCCCUAGGAACUAUUAGUACGGCCGGUCGGAACAAAGGAACCGCGCCGCUAAAGGGUUAUUUGAACCGGAAUCUUACAGCUCUAUUCUGUAAGACUGCUGUCGACCGAAAAUGCGAUUUUGUGUCUUAAGCAAGCUGUCAGGUACUACAAAGACAGGAACACGCCGAUCUAUGCGUCCUUUCUGGACUUGUCAAAGGCGUUUGACCUGGUUGUGUAAGACAAGCUAUAGUACAAGCUUACAAAAACGGGAGAUUCCAUUGAAUAUGUCGCGUUGCUUAAACAUUGGUACAACAGCCAGGUCAACCAAAUGAGAUGGGCGGGAGAGGAGUCUGACGAGUACAAACUACAAAGUGGAGCGAGACAGGGAGGGCUAACAUCCCUUCUCCUUUUCAACGUCUACGUAAACGAGUUGAUCGAGGCACUCAGCAGGGCACAUGUCGGUUGCCAUACAGGUGAUGUGUGUUUUAACAAUAUAAGUUACGCUGACGACAUGGCGUUGCUGGGGCCUUCGGCUGACGCGGUACGACAGCUCAUCAAUAUUUGUGAGGAAUACGCCGGACAGCAUGGUCUAAAAUACAACACGGCCCAAAGUCAGUUUGUCAAGUGUCUCCUUUUCUUACAGAAUAAAAUGUUAGGUAUAAAAGAAAUAGUUUAGCACAACCUUUAAUAUGUAGAAAAGGACGUAUUUAAGUUUCGUGU